AUUAUUUUGGCAGAAUAGUGCGUUUGAUUUAGAAUCUUAAUAUGUAGAUUUACAAAUAAUA
rnacentral:tRNA from 1 species